CCUCAGCUUGAAAGGUCCCUGCACUGGUCAGCCCAGUUAGGCCCCACUUUACCCCCUUCCAUGAAGCCCAAACCUACACCUGAUCCCACAAGGAUCAUGUCUAUUCUCUCUGAAAUGUUAGGGCAGGAUUGUGCCCCAAUGUCGGUGCCAGUGGAGAAGGAGCAAGUGAAAGGUUGUCUCCUCCUCCCUCUAGACCCAAGGAUAUCAGCUGGAGCCUCCAGAGAGGCGAGGGGGCAGUUUUAUUUGCUUUCAGAUCCCACGAUCCUGGGUCCGCAUCAGCUUCCUCCUCACGCUGAAUAGGCAUUUGGGAUAUGACCCGAUAAUUUUCAAGUUGAAAAGAACCAUUUUCCCGCUUCCAGAUUUUACUGAACUCAAAUGAAAUUUUAUAACGCCUGUGGAGUCAAGCAGGUGUACAAUUGCAGGCAAUCUUCUCCAAACCAGAAAAUACUGGUGCCGACGGCAGAGGCUGCUUGGUCUGCAGGCUUUUAUAACCAACGGCCCAAGGGACACACCGAUGCUGACCGUAGCAGAGGCCCAAGGAAAAGGCAGCCUUUGGCUAAGGACAUGGAAACAGAGAGUGAUACUAAUGCCCCCACGGGUCAAGGCAGCCCAUGCCAUCUGCGCAUAUCUAGAACACUCUGCAGGAAGGGGCGGGGUGGGUGGCAGAGAAGGGGGAAGAGGGAAGAAGGCAACAAGCCAUCCUGGACAGCUCAGCGAGUUCGGGGCAGUGUAAGCUUCCAGCGCUCACCAUGAAUUGCUCUGUCUUUCUUUUCUCCUCUUCCCAAGUGAUCCUAGGGCCACACGGCAGGAAGCAACCUUUAUGGUACUAAUAAUGACCACGAUGGCAACUGGUCCUGACUGUCCACGGGCAGACACUGUGCUCAAGACCUGACUUCACCUCUGAUUGAUUCGGGAGCCCUGCUGCAAAACUGGGGCAAUUCUUUCGUUGCACGGACAUAAAAAUGACGGCAAUCAAAGUUGGACAGAUUUGACCGGCAUGGGCUUCACCUAACUGCUGACGGGCAUGGUCAGGAUUCAAGUCACGGUCGGGAUUCAAGAAACAGGCCUGGAGACACACACGAAGGAGGAAGGCCCCGUGCCCAGGGAGGCAGAGACUGGGGUAAUUAGUGCAGCUACAAGCCGAGGAGCACUGAAAACCUCCAGCAGCUCGGAGAAGGCAUGGGACGCGCCCUUCCCUCACAGCUUUCAGGAGGAAGCAGCCCUCCUCGCCUCCUGACUGUGUGCUUCUAGCUCCUGGCACCGCGCGAGAAUAAAUUUCUAUUGUCACAAACUGC